AGCAAACAGGAAACGGUUAAAUACGCCACAGGAAGCUUAGUAUUCCUAAGCGUUUAAACACUCUGGAGCUUUUUUCACAUUGUGAAAAAGCUCAAUCUGGGGGAUUUCAUGAGAAAUGAGAAAUCCCCCAGAUUUUUUAUGAAAUCUGGGGGAUUUCAUGAGACGGCAAGACAAAGAAGAAGUGUCUAAUAGUUCGGAGGAAGGAUAUAAAUGCUUUUUUUUUGUAAUCUGGAAAUUGUGGCGUUCGUUUUUGUAUUCAGAUUGAUUUUAAGGUCAUGACUUCCUAAUGUCUGAUGGUGGAUUGAACGCCAUCAGACACGAAUCCUUGGAAUGUGGUUUUAUAACCCGAUCCACCUGAAAACGUCUCCAUAACUUCACCCCCGACCUGUCUGGAUGUUUGUACAAAAUACUGACAGCUACGUGUCAUUUUCUCCGUCUCUCACUUACAGGUGAUUUUAACAGAGCCUCUUUUAAUGGAAACACCGCAAUUGCAAAAUUGUGUUACGUUAAAUGUGCAGCCUGCAAAAAUGUCCAACUGUGAAGAAAUGGGAGAAAGGAACCAAGAAAGAAAGAAAGAAAGAAAGGAUGUUGGCUAAACUGACAGAAGGAUGGCUAGACAGAUGGAUACCCAUCCAAAGCUGGAAAACUGUUCAUUUCCAGACAUUUGUGGGAAGUGCAGGAGCUCCGGACUGGAAAAACACUCGUCAUGGAGAUGAAGGACAAGAGCAAAGUCAUGAAUAAAACAGUGAACACAAAACGAGUUGAGGGUUCGUUCCUCCUGGAUGCUCUCCUGACGCGUCACUGCUGAUCCCCUCAGAAACGGACAAACGCCGCGACACGCACGCGCCGAGCAGAGUCUAGAGCGAGCGCGUUUCCGUGCACCGGUCCACACAUGGAAUCUAUAAUCCUCAUUGAGCGCCCUCUCAUCUGUCUUUUUCUUUUAACUUUCUUCAUGAAAGAGAAAACAGCCACAGCUGGGUUCAGAGAGGACACACACGGAGAUCAGCCAGAAAUAAAACUCACAAAAACACAAACAACACGGGGGGAGGGGCCGCAAACAGAGCGAGUACCCUGAAGGAAAACACCAGCAUGGUGACCAGCAGAAACCCUACGACACGACAUCAGAGGAGCGGCUGCACCAGAGGCUCUCUGCCUGGGCACUCCAAGCACGCGUGUGUGUGUGUGUGUGUGCGUGUGUGUGGGUGGUGCCUUCAGGACGGGAUGCGGACAACCGUCCUGAACCAACUGCUUGAUCCAAACAUCCAUCCCGAUGAUGUGAGUCACCAGCCGUUCUGUUCCUUAGAAGCAGCAAUCUGGUGAAUGCUGUUCUCAGUUUGUUAGGAGCUUAAUGACGCAAAACUGCAGUGAUAAAAACUUCUUUCACAGCAACAAGACAAAGGGACGUAAUUGAUCUCAGUGGGCUUUUAUUUCCAUGUUUAGUGUCUAAUGGUGUUUUCGCUCCUUUUUAAUGAAGCUUUGUACGCUCAUUCAGCAGCAAUGGAACAUUUUAAGCACUUGGAGCCUGAUCUACAGAGAUUUAAAAUGAGAGGCAAAUUGUACGAAGAAUAAAACCGCGAGGGCGGUAAAGGGGGCGUGUUGAACACAACUGACUGCAGGAGUGACAGCGGUGCAGACGGCCCUGUUCAAACGAGGAUUGUGUCAUCAUGAGCGUCGGCGAGCAGAGUGGGCAUAAAAGAAAAAUGAAGCAGAAAGUGAUUAUAAUGAUACGUUUCAUUUAAUGAGGUAAAACCCAACAGUAAAAACAUUUAACGAUCAAAGUAAAACUCAAAACCUCUGUGCUCACUCACUCCACGCUCACCUUCGUCUUACCGCCAAUCCUUAUGUGACGAUUUGAAAAUAAGAAUAAAUAUUGCUUAUUUAGCCCGAACAUUGCAAACCAAGGAAAGGCCACAAUAAUUUAUCAGAACAUGAACGAGCCGGUAAAGAAACUUUUCCUGGGCUUCAGAGACGCGCUCCUGCCGGGCAUCAAAACGUAACGCCGUGCUGCAGAAAGCGACGGCGUGCUGGAAUCAUUUCCAACUCAUCAGCAUAUAAACAUGUUUUGUAUAUUCAUGAAAGCAGACAAGCUGAAUUUAGAGCGACUAAGAUUCUCCUCACUUUGCGGCACAAUUUUGUUUGCGUGUCGUUUGUGUGUGCACGUCAUCAAGUUUGUACCAGAUUUUACAAGUCAUAUGGUUCAACAAACUUUAUUAGUUUUAAACAAAUUACAGCUCUUUCUAAUACACUUUUUUUGUUUUUGAAAUUACAAUCACUCGAGACUAAGUGGCUGUUCCUUCUCUUCUGCCUAACAUCAGACCAACCUGUUGCCUUCCCCUGUCUGUGAUUCUUUCUCUCUUCUUCUCUUCUUUCUCUCCAUCCUCUCAGCUGAAUGACAUGAACUUCAUGUUAAGUAGGUUUAAAAUACAGCAGUCAAACCACACAAGAAACAUGAUUUUAACUGAUAUCCGUUUGGAUGAACAGCUGCUUCUGAUCAGAAGUAGAUGCAUCAAAGCACGUGUCAGACUGAGUGACGGUAUUUAAACUCAGGUUUAUCACAGCCAAGUUCUGUAAUUUAUUGGUUUUAUGACCAUUUCACUCAACAAAUGAUGAAUGUCUGCACAACAAAAUUUACAUUUACAAGCGUCCUCUUGAUGCACCGACAUAAUUUACCUGCUGUCUUUCGAUCACUUUCAGCUGUUUUUACGUUUUGUGCCCUGAGAGCUUUUGUUUCAGACACGAUUCAAAUGGGGAAAAAAA